AUUGAACGCUGGCGGUAUGCUUAACACAUGCAAGUCGAACGGUAACAGGCCUUCGGGCGCUGACGAGUGGCGGACGGGUGAGUAACGCGUAGGAAUCUGCCUCAUAGUGGGGGACAACGUGGGGAAACUCACGCUAAUACCGCAUACGCCCUACGGGGGAAAGCGGGGGAUCUUCGGACCUCGCGCUAUGAGAUGAGCCUGCGUUAGAUUAGCUAGUUGGUAGGGUAAAGGCCUACCAAGGCGACGAUCUAUAGCUGGUCUGAGAGGACGAACCGCCACACUGGGACUGAGAGCCGGCCCAGACUCCUACGGGAGGCAGCAUUGGGGGAUAUUGGACAAUGGGCGCAAGCCUGAUCCAGCAAUACCGCGUGUGUGAAGAAGGCCCUAGGGUUGUAAAGCACUUUCAAUGGGGAGGAAAACCUGCCGGUCAAUACCCGGCAGCUUGACAUUACCUUUAGAAGAAGCACCGGCUAACUCCGUGCCAGCAGCCGCGGUAAUAC
rnacentral:rRNA from 1 species